rnacentral:rRNA from 1 species
AACGAACGCUGGCGGCAGGCCUAACACAUGCAAGUCGAACGCUGUAGCAAUACAGAGUGGCAGACGGGUGAGUAACGCGUGGGAACGUGCCCUUCGGUUCGGAAUAACUCAGGGAAACUUGAGCUAAUACCGGAUACGUGCGAGAGCAGAAAGAUUUAUCGCCGAAGGAUCGGCCCGCGUCCGAUUAGCUAGUUGGUGAGGUAACGGCUCACCAAGGCGACGAUCGGUAGCUGGUCUGAGAGGAUGAUCAGCCACACUGGGACUGAGACACCGCCCAGACUCCUACGGGAGGCAGCAGUGGGGAAUAUUGGACAAUGGGCGCAAGCCUGAUCCAGCCAUGCCGCGUGAGUGAUGAAGGCCCUAGGGUUGUAAAGCUCUUUCGCCAGGGACGAUAAUGACGGUACCUGGAUAAGAAGCCCCGGCUAACUUCGUGCCAGCCGCCGCCGUAAUAC